CAGCAGGCGCGAAAACUUUACAAUGCGGGAAACCGUGAUAAGGGGACACCGAGUGCCAGCAUCAUAUGCUGGCUGUCCAGAUGUGUAAAAUACAUCUGUUAGCAAGGGCCGGGCAAGACCGGUGCCAGCCGCCGCGGUAACACCGGCGGCCCGAGUGGUGAUCGUGAUUAUUGGGUCUAAAGGGUCCGUAGCCGGUUUGGUCAGUCCUCCGGGAAAUCUGAUGGCUCAACCAUUAGGCUUUCGGGGGAUACUGCCAGGCUUGGAACCGGGAGAGGUAAGAGGUACUACAGGGGUAGGAGUGAAAUCUUGUAAUCCCUGUGAGACCACCUGUGGCGAAGGCGUCUUACCAGAACGGGUUCGACGGUGAGGGACGAAAGCUGGGGGCACGAACCGGAUUAGAUACCCGGGUAGUCCCAGCCGUAAACGAUGCUCGCUAGGUGUCAGGCAUGGCGCGACCGUGUCUGGUGCCGCAGGGAAGCCGUGAAGCGAGCCACCUGGGAAGUACGGCCGCAAGGCUGAAACUUAAAGGAAUUGGCGGGGGAGCACAACAACGGGUGGAGCCUGCGGUUUAAUUGGACUCAACGCCGGACAACUCACCGGGGACGACAGCAAUAUGUAGGCCAGGCUGAAGACCUUGCCUGAAUCGCUGAGAGGAGGUGCAUGGCCGUCGCCAGUUCGUACUGUGAAGCAUCCUGUUAAGUCAGGCAACGAGCGAGACCCGUGCCCACUGUUACCAGCAUGUCCUCCGGGAC
rnacentral:rRNA from 1 species